ACGAAGGCUUCGGCCUUAGUGGCGCACGGGUGCGUAACGCGUGGGAAUCUGCCCUCAGGUUCGGAAUAACAGCGAGAAAUUGCUGCUAAUACCGGAUGAUAUCGCGAGAUCAAAGAUUUAUCGCCUGAGGAUGAGCCCGCGUAGGAUUAGCUAGUUGGUGUGGUAAAGGCGCACCAAGGCGACGAUCCUUAGCUGGUCUGAGAGGAUGAUCAGCCACACUGGGACUGAGACACGGCCCAGACUCCUACGGGAGGCAGCAGUGGGGAAUAUUGGACAAUGGGCGAAAGCCUGAUCCAGCAAUGCCGCGUGAGUGAUGAAGGCCUUAGGGUUGUAAAACUCUUUUACCCGGGAUGAUAAUGACAGUACCGGGAGAAUAAGCUCCGGCUAACUCCGUGCCAGCAGCCGCGGUAAUACGGAGGGAGCUAGCGUUAUUCGGAAUUACUGGGCGUAAAGCGCACGUAGGCGGCUUUGUAAGUUAGAGGUGAAAGCCUGGAGCUCAACUCCAGAAUUGCCUUUAAGACUGCAUCGCUUGAAUCCAGGAGAGGUGAGUGGAAUUCCGAGUGUAGAGGUGAAAUUCGUAGAUAUUCGGAAGAACACCAGUGGCGAAGGCGGCUCACUGGAC
rnacentral:rRNA from 1 species